rnacentral:rRNA from 1 species
AUUGAACGCUAGCGGCAGGCCUAACACAUGCAAGUCGAGCGGGGCGGCGGACGGGUGAGUAAUGCCUAGGAAUCUGCCUGGUCGUGGGGGAGAGCGUUCGCAACCGGACGCUACUACCGCAUACUCUCAGUUUAGCCUAGGUCGGAAUAGCUAGUUGGUGGGGUAAAGGCCUACCCAGGCGACGAUCCGUAACUGGUCUGAGAGGAUGAUCAGUCACACUGGAACUGAGACACGGUCCAGACUCCUACGGGAGGCAGCAGUGGGGAAUAUUGGACAAUGGGCGAAAGCCUGAUCCAGCCAUGCCGCGUGUGUGAAGAAGGUCUUCGGAUUGUAAAGUACUUUUAGCUGGGAGGCGGUACCAGCAGAAUAAGCACCGGCUAACUACGUGCCAGCAGCCGCGGUAAUAC